rnacentral:rRNA from 1 species
GUGGGGAAUCUUCCGCAAUGGACGAAAGUCUGACGGAGCAACGCCGCGUGAGUGAAGAAGGUUUUCGGAUCGUAAAGCUCUUUCGUUAGGGACGAACGUGCUCUUUGUGAAUAAUGAGGAGUAAUGACGGUACCUAAAUAAGAAGCCACGGCUAACUACGUGCCAGCAGCCGCGGUAAUACGUAGGUGGCAAGCGUUGUCCGGAAUUAUUGGGCGUAAAGCGCGCGCAGGCGGGAUAUCAAGUCUGGCUUAAAAGUGCGAGGCUCAACCUCGUGAGGGGACAGAAACUGGUAUUCUUGAGUGUCGGAGAGGAAAGUGGAAUUCCAAGUGUAGCGGUGAAAUGCGUAGAGAUUUGGAAGAACACCAGUGGCGAAGGCGACUUUCUGGACGAUGUCUGACGCUGAGGCGCGAAAGCUAGGGGAGCGAACGGGAUUAGAUACCCCGGUAGUCC